GCUUGGAUGAUGACUUUUCUUUCUUUUGUCGGAUACCCCUUCACUCCACAUUGAGUGAGAUCCUUAUUCUGACAUGC